AUUUGAUCUGGCUCAGACGACGCUGGCGGCGUGCCUAAUACAUGCAAGUCGAGCGCAGGAAACUGACGGAACUCUUCGGAGGGAAGGCAGCGGAAUGAGCGGCGGACGGGUGAGUAACACGUAAGGAACCUGCCUCAAGGAUUGGGAUAACUCCGAGAAAUCGGAGCUAAUACCGGAUAGUUCAUCGGACCGCAUGGUCCGUUGAUGAAAGGCGCUCCGGCGUCACCUUGAGAUGGCCUUGCGGUGCAUUAGCUAGUUGGUGGGGUAACGGCCCACCAAGGCGACGAUGCAUAGCCGACCUGAGAGGGUGAUCGGCCACACUGGGACUGAGACACGGCCCAGACUCCUACGGGAGGCAGCAGUAGGGAAUCUUCCACAAUGGACGAAAGUCUGAUGGAGCAACGCCGCGUGAGUGAUGAAGGUUUUCGGAUCGUAAAACUCUGUUGUAAGGGAAGAACACGUACGAGAGGGAAUGCUCGUACCUUGACGGUACCUUACGAGAAAGCCACGGCUAACUACGUGCCAGCCGCCGCGGUAAU
rnacentral:rRNA from 1 species